rnacentral:rRNA from 1 species
AAAGUGGCGAACGGCUGAGUAACACGUGGGCAACCUGCCCUUUGCACUGGGAUAGCCUCGGGAAACCGAGGUUAAUACCGGAUACUCCAUAUUUGUCGCAUGGCGAAUAUGGGAAAGCUCCGGCGGCAAAGGAUGGGCCCGCGGCCUGUUAGCUAGUUGGUGAGGUAGUGGCCUACCAAGGCAAUGAUGGGUAGCCGGGUUGAGAGACCGACCGGCCAGAUUGGGACUGAGACACGGCCCAGACUCCUACGGGAGGCAGCAGAA